CAGUAGCCGCGGGAAAACAGAGGGUGCGAGCGUUAAUCGGAUUUACUGGGCAUAAAGCGUGCGUAGGCGGCUUCUUAAGUCGGAUGUGAAAUCCCUGAGCUUAACUUAGGAAUUGCAUUCGAUACUGGGAAGCUAGAGUAUGGGAGAGGAUGGUAGAAUUCCAGGUGUAGCGGUGAAAUGCGUAGAGAUCUGGAGGAAUACCGAUGGCGAAGGCAGCCAUCUGGCCUAAUACUGACGCUGAGGUACGAAAGCAUGGGGAGCAAACAGGAUUAGAUACCCCCGUAGUCCCUGUCUCUUAUAC
rnacentral:rRNA from 1 species